NNNAUGUAUUAGUACCAUAUCCAAUGGUGUUGGAGAGGUGGCCCAGUGUCGGGCCAAUCCUCUACCACCUUGGGAAAAGUAUAAAAGAUGGAGUCAGAAAAUAAACCGCCUUUUCUUUUACCUCGCAAUAGCAGUGGCUCGCGUGGUGCUUUCACGUGUCCUACAGCGACAUCUGGUGACCGCCGACGUGUACUGCAGUUUAGGCUGGGAACGCGUGUGAGUUUUGUGUCUGUUUGGCACUUUGCCUGCUAUUGUCUUGGUAAUGGAGACUGUGGAAGAAGUGUUAGGAAUUUGGUGCGAUCUAUUGAGGCGAAAACGCCUUCUCCUUUCUUGGGAGAAUUUUGAGAGAUUGUUUUUUUGGGCACGGGAGCAGGGAUUUUUUCCCAGGCUGGAAGAAGCCCUCUCCUGGGAGAAUUGGUCUCCCGUGGGAGAGCGUCUCAUGGACGCCCUCCUUGAUAGUCGUUUUGAAGAUGUUGGGCCGCUGGUGUUACUGUGGAGGAGGUUGGAUGCCGUUUGGCAGGGUUCUGAGAUUGGUAGUUCCCGGGCUUCUCUGGGGGACCUAUCUGUCUCGGAUGUGGAUCCUGGAGACACCGAGUGUUUCUGGGGUGGCCCCUCCUCUGGAGUGGCUCGGGCCCCCAGUCCGCUGACUCCGAGCGUCCGGUCGGUGGACGAAGCCCCAGAGAUUGCUGGGGGCUCGGAGGAGCCGGUUCGGCCGUCUCGCCCCGCCCCGCGCCGCAGGCGUAGUGGCCUGUGGGGGGAAGAGAUCUCUCUUUGUGCCUUCCCGGCACUCAGAGAUGAACGGAGUGCCGCGGUUCAGCCCCCGUCUCAGAUUGAGCCAGACUCGGUGACAGUACAUUGUCCGAACUGCGGUGUUACAUUUCCCCUGGAGACGACGCAGACGGGUUCGCCCGGUUCGGUCUCGGCUUCCUCUUCUGAGGACGCCCCGGCUCCGAUCCCGGAGCUGGCGCAGUCUGCGCAGCCCGCUGGGCAUGCGCAGGCGGUGGGGGCCGCCAAGGGCGGGGCGUUCGUCCCUGUUCCAUCGGGCCCCACCCCAGCGGGCGGGCAGCCCGGCCCGUCUCACAUGAUGGGGGCGGUACCCGCCGGGAGGCUGCGCGUCAUGGCUCCGGCGCUCCUUGGAGGCGUGCCGGACUCUCUUGUGUCCUCCCGUGGGGGUGUGUCUCCGCGGGCCGCGUCUCCUUCUGCGCUGCGUCCUUUCCCCGCCCCGGGAGAGGGGAGCGCUGCGCUGGGGUUGCGGUCGGCGCCGCCGGCAGCGCCCGCCGCGGUGCCCUCUGCUGAC
rnacentral:lncRNA from 1 species